GCGUUGUUCGGAUUCAUUGGGCGUAAAGGGUGCGUAGGUGGCGGGGUAAGUCGGGUGUGAAAUUUCGGAGCUUAACUCCGAAACUGCAUUCGAUACUGCCUUGCUUGAGGACUGGAGAGGAGACUGGAAUUUACGGUGUAGCAGUGAAAUGCGUAGAUAUCGUAAGGAAGACCAGUGGCGAAGGCGGGUCUCUGGACAGUUCCUGACACUGAGGCACGAAGGCUAG
rnacentral:rRNA from 1 species